GCCCUUUCUUCCAUAUUUCCUGAUAACCCCCUGUAGAAAUAGACAAACACCAAAACUCAUGGAAUUCUGUCAGAUAAAACCCUAAGUCUGGAUGUCGGUUGCAUUUGGAUCCUUUUCUUUGUUUAUUUGUUGAUUAUAUUUGAUACUUAAAGACCGUCAACAAACUCCUCCAAGCUUACCUCUUGCUCGUCCCUGAGCAAGGAUAAUCUCAGUGAU
rnacentral:lncRNA from 1 species